rnacentral:rRNA from 1 species
AUUGAACGCUGGCGGCAUGCCUUACACAUGCAAGUCGAACGGUAACGGGCCUUCGGGUGCCGACGAGUGGCGAACGGGUGAGUAAUGCAUCGGAACGUACCUUUCAGUGGGGGAUAACGUAGCGAAAGUUACGCUAAUACCGCAUAUUCUGUGAGCAGGAAAGCAGGGGAUCGCAAGACCUUGCGCUGAUUGAGCGGCCGAUGUCAGAUUAGCUAGUUGGUGGGGUAAAGGCCUACCAAGGCGACGAUCCGUAGCGGGUCUGAGAGGAUGAUCCGCCACACUGGGACUGAGACACGGCCCAGACUCCUACGGGAGGCAGCAGUGGGGAAUUUUGGACAAUGGGCGAAAGCCUGAUCCAGCCAUGCCGCGUGAGUGAAGAAGGCCUCGGUUGU